rnacentral:rRNA from 1 species
AGCUCCAAUAGCGUAUAUUAAAGUUGUUGCAGUUAAAAAGCUCGUAGUUGGAUUUCUGGUUUGAAUGUCCGGUCCGCUUGUGUUCAUCACGAGUGCGUACUAUGGAUAUUUGGGCCAUUUUUUGUGAGGAAGUUUUUCUGCCAUUAAGUUGGUGGGGCUACUGACUUGCAUCGUUUACUGUGAAAAAAUUAGAGUGUUUAAAGCAGGCGUUUGCUUCUGAAUACAUUAGCAUGGAAUAAUAAGAUACGACCUUGGUGGUCUAUUUUGUUGGUUUGCACGCCAGGGUAAUGAUUAAUAGGGACAGUUGGGGGUAUUCAUAUUUCAGUGUCAGAGGUGAAAUUCUUGGAUCACUGAAAGAUGAGCUUAGGCGAAAGCAUUUACCAUGGAUGUUUUCAUUAAU